CCUACGGGAGGCAGCAGUGGGGAAUUGUUCGCAAUGGGCGCAAGCCUGACGACGCAACGCCGCGUGGAGGAUGAAGGUCUUCGGAUUGUAAACUCCUGUUGCUCGGGACGAAAAGCUUCGACCUAAUACGUCGAAGUCUGACGGUACCGGGUGAGGAAGCCCCGGCUAACUCUGUGCCAGCAGCCGCGGUAAUACAGAGGGGGCAAGCGUUGUUCGGAAUUACUGGGCGUAAAGGGCGCGUAGGCGGCCCUCUAAGUCAGACGUGAAAUCCCCGGGCUUAACCCGGGAACUGCGUCUGAUACUGGGGGGCUUGAAUCCGGGAGAGGGAUGCGGAAUUCCAGGUGUAGCGGUGAAAUGCGUAGAUAUCUGGAGGAACACCGGUGGCGAAGGCGGCAUCCUGGACCGGUAUUGACGCUGAGGCGCGAAAGCCAGGGGAGCAAACGGGGAUUAGAUACCCCCGGGUAGUCCUGGCCCUAAACGAUGAAUGCUUGGUGUGGCGGGUAUCGAUCCCUGCCGUGCCGAAGCUAACGCAUUAAGCAUCGCGUGGNGUAGUCGNGAGNGNGACGACGAAGAAGUGNGNGUGAGAGNGCGAGCGCGACGAGGAGAGG
rnacentral:rRNA from 1 species